UACGAAGGGGGCUAGCGUUGCUCGGAAUCACUGGGCGUAAAGGGUGCGUAGGCGGGUCUUUAAGUCAGGGGUGAAAUCCUGGAGCUCAACUCCAGAACUGCCUUUGAUACUGAGGAUCUUGAGUUCGGGAGAGGUGAGUGGAACUGCGAGUGUAGAGGUGAAAUUCGUAGAUAUUCGCAAGAACACCAGUGGCGAAGGCGGCUCACUGGCCCGAUACUCGACGCUCAUGCACGACAGCGUGGGGAUCAAACAGG
rnacentral:rRNA from 1 species